rnacentral:lncRNA from 1 species
CGAAGCGCAGCUGGGAAGGGACCGAGUCUGGAUUCCAGGGAGGUCCGGGUUCUAAUCGAACGAGGCUGUCAAUGGUGGUUCCUUUCGCGGAACGGUGUGGACUACACGACAGGCCCUCGCUCAGAACAGCGAGGGCUGGCCCGCGCUCCACUUCCCAGGGAAGAUCUACUGCCAGGGCACACCUGCCGGGCCCUGGACGUGCCCCAUCGGUGGCGAAAGAAGGGGCUUCCUGACCCAACUCCCCCAGACAGCCGCCAACUCCGAUCACUCUGGCCGAGUUUGUCUACUCUUCACCCCACCCCAACUCCAAACGAUGACCUUCAGUCAGACUUCAUCUUCAAAUUUGACGCUGGCCCCUAGCACCAUUCUCUAUACAGGAAAUAAGGUGUUGUUCAAUGAAUGGAAUUUCAGUGUCCACGAGAAAGCCCAAUACCUACACAUCCAAUUCCCAUUAUCAAAUGUUUGCACAAGAAUCGCAAAUUAAAGCCACCACUUCAUCAACUGGUCAA